UACGUAGGUGGCAAGCGUUGUCCGGAUUUACUGGGCGUAAAGAGCGCGCAGGCGGUCGUUCAAGUCGCGUGUGAAAGCCCCCGGCUCAACUGGGGAGGGUCACGCGAUACUGAUCGACUCGAAGGCAGGAGAGGGUAGUGGAAUUCUCGGUGUAGCGGUGAAAUGCGUAGAUAUCGAGAGGAACACCUGCGGCGAAGGCGGGUUGCUGGGCUGACACUGACGCUGAGGCGCGAAAGCUAGGGGAGCGAACGGG
rnacentral:rRNA from 1 species